rnacentral:rRNA from 1 species
UACGGAGGGAGCUAGCGUUGUUCGGAAUUACUGGGCGUAAAGCGCGCGCAGGCGGUCCCGUAAGUCGGACGUGAAAGCCCAGGGCUCAACUCUGGAAGUGCGUCUGAUACUGCGAGACUGGAGUACUGGAGAGGAGAGCGGAAUUCCCGGUGUAGAGGUGAAAUUCGUAGAUAGUCGGGAGGAACACCAGUGGCGAAGGCGGCUCUCUGGACAGAUACUGACGCUGAGGCGCGAAAGCGUGGGAAGCAAACAGG